ACCAUGUGGUUGCUGGGAUUUGAACUCACGACCUUUGGAAGAGCAGCCAAUGCUCUUGCCUGCUGAGCCAUCUCACCAGCCCGGGUUACCUGAUCUUACAGUUCUUCAAACUGAACCGAACCUGGCCCCUCGUAACGGCCCUGCAUCUCUUUGCAAGAAACAUCACCAACCAUGUGCUGCUGACGAAGGACGGCAUCACCCUGAGCAGCUCCUCCUUGUCUUCCUCCCGGACCACAGGAAUCGUCUCUAGGAUGAGCUGCAUCUGCUCCAGCUCGUGAGCCCCUGGGGAGGCAAAUGGCACGUGGAAUAAGAACACAUGUACAUUCCUGGGUAGGUAUACAUCUGCACAAAUGCGAGCCAGCAUCCUGAAGAGCCCCGGGGAUCAUCACAUCUAUCGUUGCACUACACACAGGAGCCAAGAUGCCAGCCUAGAGGGAAGCAGUCUAGAUGCCCAUCAACAGCCAGACUAAUAAAGAAAAUGUGAUAUUCUCAGCUGUAAAGGAGAAUAAAUUAGGGCUGGAAUGGAG